rnacentral:rRNA from 1 species
CGGGUAGAGUAAUGCGUGACCAACCUGCCCCAUGCUCCAGAAUAGCUCUUGGAAACGGGUGGUAAUGCUGGAUGCUCCAACUUGACGCAUGUCUUGUUGGGAAAGUGUUUAGUGGCAUGGGAUGGGGUCGCGUCCUAUCAGCUUGUAGGCGGGGGUAAUGGCCCACCUAGGCUUCGACGGGUAGCCGGCCUGAGAGGGCGGACGGCCACAUUGGGACUGAGAUACGGCCCAGACUCCUACGGGAGGCAGCAGCG